AAGAGCGCUGGACUGAGACUCAAGAAAUCUUUCACAUGAUCAAGAAACUUAUGCAUUUGUGUGUGCAUUGCUCAAGACACAGUUCUAAUUAGAAAUGUCUGAAAUAGGAACACAAAGCAUACCCCAUAAGAUGUUUUCACACCUCUGGGACAAUGGCAACCUCAUCAACAGAAUACUUCAGAACUGCUGAGGACUGGCCUACAGGCUUGAAUGGGAGGAAGAAUUAGCAGCAACUAGUAAGAAAGGAGCCUUACAGCAUCCUUCAGGCGAUGCUACGUAAAAUCAACAGAUGGCACAGACAGUUGCUUCUUAGUAGAGACCAGCAUGGGACAGUAUGAACACAGACUAAGGUUUGGUUGUUGUCAACACAUGCUGAAGCACAGUCUGUGCAUUAAGACCAUUGGGGAGAGUUCAGCCGUGCUUUGGCUAAUCCAUAAUCUUUUAAUCAUCUCUGCGAGCCUUCCCUUUAAGGUUGGGUUUUCUUUUCUCCUUGGUCAAAAACAAGUGGCUUGUCAUGACCAAAGGAUUUCCCACUCAACAGAGAAGAAUUGAGAUAGCGUUUAUUGAGGAGCACAAUUCAGCUGAUGGCAAAGAAGAUGAACAUAACUGGUAGACUGGAAGAGCUGCAGUUUCCUUGAAUAAUCAGUCUAAUGAUAACUUCCUUUCACCAGGUUCUAACCCUAUGCUCUCAUUUCUCAGAGGCAGUAAAAGUGUGUCGUCCAGGUAAUCUAUGAGACCUUUUGCUACAGCUUCCAGAAUAUAUGAAUUGUAGCAGAUCUUACAAUUUUCACGGGACAGUCUAAGUGUUUUCUUCCUGUGCAAAGGCUAAGUUCACACGCAAUGGGAAAGCAGGAUUCUCUACACAUGAUGAAGAAGCAACAGCAACUAGAAAAGCAGUCUACAAAUGAUAGGAAAUAAAUAACAUUGUCUGAGUCAAUAAAAGUAUUGUAAGGCCAAGCAGCUGAAGAGGGGAAAACCUUGUGUUUCUCUUAUGGCAAACUCUGAGAUCAGUGUAAUAUGUUGCAUGACAAUAAUUCUGCAGUUGCUGGCAAAGAAGGGGAAAACUCGUCCAAAAUCCCAUGCUAACAAUGGCAGCGUAAUGAUCUCCACAGUUGGGUUGAGACAAUUACGCUGUUGGCCUGAGCAAAAUGCAGGCUGAAUGUAACUGACCCGACCUCACUCUGUAAUCAAAAGCUACAUGCAAAUAGUCUUUUAAAAGGUCUGAUCACGGACACAAUAUCAGGCUCUGAAAUGCUGAUGCUCUUCUUUUGUGUAGAGUCAGUCAGGGAAGCAGAAAGGAAAGGAUGUUGGAAGGAUGUUGACACCAUGAUGAAGUGACCCCCUGGAAGGAGUCAUUCAGCCCCCGGGUCCCCCGCACGCAGAACCAGCCCAUCUGGUGCCAUCAGAAGCUAUAUGAAAGCGACUAGGAUUGCACAGAAAGCAACCCCAAGCAGGAAUUUUUCUAGCAGAUCUGCUGUAAUGAAGCACUUGAGAUAAUGGAAGAACAAAAGUGAGCAGAUAGCGCCACCUCCAAGCUCCUGCUCAGAUACGCUGGACACAUCGUCAUCUGUCUGUUCUCCUGAGUGAUAGAGCAUCAGUGCAUG